GGGUUGUGAGGUUAAGCGACUAAGCGUACACGGUGGAUGCCCUGGCAGUCAGAGGCGAUGAAGGGCGUGCUAAUCUGCGAUAAGCGCCGGUAAGGUGAUAUGAACCGUUAUAACCGGCGAUACCCGAAUGGGGAAACCCAGUGUGAUUCGUCACACUAUCAUUAACUGAAUCCAUAGGUUAAUGAGGCGAACCGGGGGAACUGAAACAUCUAAGUACCCCGAGGAAAAGAAAUCAACCGAGAUUCCCCCAGUAGCGGCGAGCGAACGGGGAGGAGCCCAGAGCCUGAAUCAGCAUGUGUGUUAGUGGAAGCGUCUGGAAAGGCGCGCGAUACAGGGUGACAGCCCCGUACACAAAAGCGUAUGUGCUGUGAGCUCGAUGAGUAGGGCGGGACACGUGGUAUCCUGUCUGAAUAUGGGGGGACCAUCCUCCAAGGCUAAAUACUCCUGACUGACCGAUAGUGAACCAGUACCGUGAGGGAAAGGCGAAAAGAACCCCGGCGAGGGGAGUGAAAAAGAACCUGAAACCGUGUACGUACAAGCAGUGGGAGCACCCUUUGGGGUGUGACUGCGUACCUUUUGUAUAAUGGGUCAGCGACUUAUAUUCUGUAGCAAGGUUAACCGAAUAGGGGAGCCGGAGGGAAACCGAGUCUUAAUUGGGCGUUAAGUUGCAGGGUAUAGACCCGAAACCCGGUGAUCUAGCCAUGGGCAGGUUGAAGGUUGGGUAACACUAACUGGAGGACCGAACCGACUAAUGUUGAAAAAUUAGCGGAUGACCUGUGGCUGGGGGUGAAAGGCCAAUCAAACCGGGAGAUAGCUGGUUCUCCCCGAAAGCUAUUUAGGUAGCGCCUCGUGAAUUCAUCUCCGGGGGUAGAGCACUGUUUCGGCUAGGGGGUCAUCCCGACUUACCAACCCGAUGCAAACUGCGAAUACCGGAGAAUGUUAUCACGGGAGACACACGGCGGGUGCUAACGUCCGUCGUGAAGAGGGAAACAACCCAGACCGCCAGCUAAGGUCCCAAAGUCAUGGUUAAGUGGGAAACGAUGUGGGAAGGCCCAGACAGCCAGGAUGUUGGCUUAGAAGCAGCCAUCAUUUAAAGAAAGCGUAAUAGCUCACUGGUCGAGUCGGCCUGCGCGGAAGAUGUAACGGGGCUAAACCAUGCACCGAAGCUGCGGCAGCGACACUAUGUGUUGUUGGGUAGGGGAGCGUUCUGUAAGCCUGUGAAGGUGU
rnacentral:rRNA from 1 species